GUGUAGCUCAAUUUGGUAGAGCAUGGCGGUAGCAAUGCCAGGGGACGGGGUUCGAUUCCCACUGGGGCCACA